AUACUUACCUGACAGGGGAGAAUCCAUGAUCAAGAAGAUGGUUUUCCCAGGGCGAGGCUUACCCAUUGCACUCUGGGUAUGCAGACCCCUGCAAUUUCCCUAAUGUAGGAUACACGACUGCAUAAUUUGUGUUAGUGGAGAACUGUGUUCAUGCUCUCCC
rnacentral:snRNA from 1 species